UACGGGGGAUGCAAGCGUUAUCCGGAAUCAUUGGGCGUAAAGCGCCUGUAGGUUGUUUAAUAAGUCUGUUGUUAAAGACUAGGGCUCAACCCUAGAAAAGCAAUGGAAACUACUAGACUAGAGUAUGGCAGGGGUAGAGGGAAUUUCUAGUGUAGCGGUGAAAUGCGUAGAUAUUAGAAAGAACACCGGUGGCGAAAGCGCUCUACUGGACCAUUACUGACACUCAGAGGCGAAAGCUAGGGUAGCAAAAGGGAUUAGAUACCCCUGUAGUCCUAGCCGUAAACGAUGGAUACUAGAUGUUGUGCUUAAUGUACAGUAUCCUAGCUAACGCGUUAAGUAUCCCGCCUGGGGAGUACGCUCGCAAGGGUG
rnacentral:rRNA from 1 species